UCUCCACAAUGCCAAAAGUGCAAUGAGCUUCAUGCUGAAUACUGAUUUGAAGUGUGGUUCACCACACAGACUUAAAUUGUCCUUCCCACAACUUUAUCUGAGAAGCAUGACAACGGUGACAAUCACAGGACUAGUUUUAUUGGUCAGGAUGUGGUGUUACUAUAUUAAAGCGCUUCAAGUUUUCAUAGCGCUCGUCAAACAGAGACCUCGGAACGCUCUGCAGACAUUAAUUAAUGUUCGCUCCGGCCCUGGAAGCCAUUUCACCAAUGGAAAUUCCGAUGAGAAAGGAAGAAACGAGGGGUUCAAGGCCGCGCCGUUGUGAGUCCGCUGCGGAACUAGGAACUGAAACCCCGUGGUUCCCAAUGAGCCAGCGAAAGUCUGUCGAAGUAUUGAGCACCCCUAUUGAAGACUGUGGGAGUUUUGGCGGCUUAAUGGGAUUGUGUUCGGUCCUUCAGGCUCUCCUUUAAAAGAUUCCAUGGCACCAACGAGACUCCAAUAAAAGGGCCUCUCUAA
ensembl:lncRNA novel transcript